rnacentral:lncRNA from 1 species
UCAGUAUUGGAACUGCUUUCACAAAAUGUAAAGACUAACAGAAAAUGGACAUGAAGAAGUAUCUGGAUCAUUAUAAGGGUGGCCUGUCGCUACCCAGGCACUCAGAGCAGGCGCUGUUUCUCUUUCCGGUGGACGUUGGACAGGUGCUACGGCCACGUGGGCUUCCUCAGCACCACACUCCUCACUGGAGUCCCUGCACAGCCAGCCCCUCCUGCUCCUCCUUGCACACCUCCACGGCUCCUGAGUCCUUCACCCUCUGCUCAUCCGCCCUCAGAUACCUCCUUCUCCACUGGCUCCCUCUAAAAGAGCAUCAGCUUCCGUGACUAAAACAAACCCCAAAGGCUUGCCAGUUCCCAUUGGAGUUGAGUCUUCGGGAUGGGCAGGUCCUAGCAGCCACCUUGGAUGUGCCCUUCGCAUUCUGCUCCUCUGCUUCAGGUAAGGGACAAGCACCAUGGCCACCACUACCUGAUCACCAACAUUCCAGGCUCUCUCAGGGCUCAUUUUCUGUGACCGUUUGCCAUAUCCAACUCUGGGGUUGCGUCUCUCAAAACUCUUAGUUUCCCUCAUUCAGAUCCUUCCUAGUCUUCCCUUGUCACCCUGAAGAUUCCUCUUCAGCCAUAUGUUCUGUCCUCAUUCUCUCCUUGUUCCUUACAGAGAAGCAUUUGCCAUAAAAGUGUCCUUUUCCUCUUCCUUUCUUGCUCAACAGCCUCUGCUUCUGUGAUGACUUUUUAUCUCUAAUGGAUCAUUCUCACCUUUCAGUCUGUGCCUCUAACCUCUUCUCUGAACUCUACAUUUAUUUUUUUCAUACCAGGAGUCAAACUCAGGACUUUGCGCUUACCAGGUAGGUAUGGUGCCACGGAGCUAAAUCCCUGGUUGGAACUCUAGAUGUCUAAGUCUAACAUCUGCUACGAUACCCAAUGGGAUGGCAUGGAGACAUUUCAAACUUGACAUGUUAGAAACAGAAGUCAUUUUUUCCCUUUAUUGGUACAUUCUGGGUAUGCGGUACACUUACAUUCAUCACUGGGAUCUUGUACCUUUACAUGAGGUAUCAUGGUUCUUAUAAAAAUAAGAAUGAGAAAACUCCACUCUCCUCCCCUCCUUUCAUCCAUUCCACACUUCCCUAUUUACAAAGACUUUGUUUCCAUUAUUUACCUUUUCUCUUUUUUUUUCUUUUCUUAAAAGUGUAAAUAAGAAUCAAAAUG